ACGCUAGCUACAGGCUUAACACAUGCAAGUCGAGGGGAAACGGCAUUAAGUGCUUGCACUUUUUGGACGUCGACCGGCGUACGGGUGAGUAACGCGUAUCCAACCUUCCCAUGACUAAGGGAUAACCUGCCGAAAGGCAGACUAAUACCUUAUGGUCUUCACUGACGGCAUCAGAUGUGAAGUAAAGAUUUAUCGGUUAUGGAUGGGGAUGCGUCUGAUUAGUUAGUUGGCGGGGUAACGGCCCACCAAGGCAACGAUCAGUAGGGGUUCUGAGAGGAAGGUCCCCCACAUUGGAACUGAGACACGGUCCAAACUCCUACGGGAGGCAGCAGUGAGGAAUAUUGGUCAAUGGGCGAGAGCCUGAACCAGCCAAGUAGCGUGCAGGAUGACGGCCCUAUGGGUUGUAAACUUCUUUUGUAUGGGGAUAAAGUCAAUCACGUGUGAUUGUUUGCAGGUACCAUACGAAUAAGGACCGGCUAAUUCCGUGCCAGCAGCCGCGGUAAUACGGAAGGUCCGGGCGUUAUCCGGAUUUAUUGGGUUUAAAGGGAGCGUAGGCUGGAGAUUAAGUGUGUUGUGAAAUGUAGACGCUCAACGUCUGACUUGCAGCGCAUACUGGUUUCCUUGAGUACGCACAACGUUGGCGGAAUUCGUCGUGUAGCGGUGAAAUGCUUAGAUAUGACGAAGAACUCCGAUUGCGAAGGCAGCUGACGGGAGCGCAACUGACGCUGAAGCUCGAAGGUGCGGGUAUCGAACAGGAUUAGAUACCCUGGUAGUCCGCACAGUAAACGAUGGAUGCCCGCUGUUGGUACGUGGUAUCAGCGGCUAAGCGAAAGCAUUAAGCAUCCCACCUGGGGAGUACGCCGGCAACGGUGAAACUCAAAGGAAUUGACGGGGGCCCGCACAAGCGGAGGAACAUGUGG
rnacentral:rRNA from 1 species